rnacentral:lncRNA from 1 species
AACCCUCUGACGGAACAAAAGGCCUCGGCCAAGCUUUUUACACUUCCCGGUAAACAAGUGCGGUUGGAGGCUGCAAGAGAAAGGACGAAACGGGAGAAGAGACAUUCGAACGGUGAGAAGGAUCUCGUUUGGUCUUCCUCCGUUCGAUCGGCUUCUGCUUCUACCCGAUCAGGCCAAGGUUAUUCGAUCGAACUUCUUCAGUCAUAGGUUUCUCCAUAUAUUAAACCGAAUGUUCUUUGGUUUCCUUUUGUUUUCUUGCUGUAAAAUUGAUGCCUAAACAAACGAAUCUGAUAGCCGAUCGUUCUGUGAAUCUUGUAAAGUGGGGAUUGUGGGAUUUUAUUGCGAUUUGACGGUGAUCUUGGUCACAUCGGUGUCUCGUAGUUGUGUGUCCGAGCUUUCAAGUCGGUUCUUGUGAUGAAUAGUCUGAAGAAAGGCCUUCUAUAUGCAGCUUGGUCUUCUGUGUGUCUGUUUUUAGUCAACUUGUGGGUGAACGGAAAAAUCUGACCAUCGAUCGUUCUAUGAAUCUUGGUAGAGGGGUUGUGGGAUCAGAUCUGCCUGAUCUUGGUUACCGAUGUACCUCAAAGUUGCGGAUAGAACUUUCAGUUUUUUCUUUAUAAUAUUUUUGAGGAUUUCGAAGCCUACGGUUUAAAUGUAUCUUUUAUAUGCAGCAUGAUGUUUUUGUUGGGUGUUUUUGAGUGAAUUUGUGGGUUGGUGGAAGAAUCUGAUCAUCGAUCGUUCUGUGAAUUUGGUGGUGGAGGUGUUGUGGGAUUUUGGAUCUGUAAGAUUUUAAUUACAAGUGGAGAUCAGAGCCGUGGUCCCAAACGUUCUGUGAAUUAAGGUUGCAUACAUCUCUUUUACAUUCAUCUUGAUUUUUUGGGGUAGUUAUUGAAUUUGUAGAUGAAAAGAAUUAUACGAUUGUCCAUUGUUCUGUGAAUCUUGUGGUAGAGGGGCUGUGGGAUUGGAUUGGAAUGAUCUUGAUCAAGUGGAGCUUGGAUCUGUGGGUUUGAACUUUCAGUUGACUCUUGUGAUUUAUAAUCACGAGAAUCAACUGAAAGUUCAGAUCAGCAGUUCUAAGUUUAACAUGUAACCAAGGCGGAGGGUGAUGGAGGCGGAGGGGAGGGGGUGAAGUUGGGGACGGGAGAGACGGAGGGGGUGAAGUGGAAGAGGCAGAGGGAGUGGAGGAUAGCUAACUUCCUCCCCCUUCCACUCCUGCUACCCCCUCCCAAGCUCCCUCUCCCCACUCCACUCCCUCCACACUCCGUCUCCCCCCUACUCCCACUUCAACCCCCCAGUGUAAUCUAUCCAAAAAGAAAUAAACGAAUAUUUGUAUUUCUGUUAAAAUAGUUGUAAAAGAACCAUUGCAAACUCCUAUGACUCUUCACAAUGAUAUGCAAUAUGUGAUUAGGCUUCCUAAAUUUUAUUCCUAGUAAAUAAUAAUAGUACCACCUAACAAGAAUUCCCAGAAGCCACACUACCAGUUAUGACAGUGUCAUCAACCUACAACAGAUAGCUUACUGAAGAGGAGAUGUUCAAGUACUUACAAUUAUGAGCCAUAAUUCAUAACACUUAGUAAACAAAAGAAACUGUAUAAGUGCCAACAAGUUAAAUUAACUAACGGAAGCUUAUAAAGAGUCUAUUAUCCAGCAGAGUGAGUAUACAUCAAUCUAGUAUGAAUUCAGCAGAGGAACAGAACCAUGAUCUAUCAUUUACCUUUAAUUUCUCGAGAUGGAAAGCGGGGUUUAGAAUCCUCCUACGUUAGGAGUUCAGUCACUAGCAAUCGUCCGGGAGGGCCUGUGUUUGGUCCUCCAAAGUGACCGAACUUGUUGGAUAGGAUGCCCCUCACUGCGGAUCCAUGAGAGUCACUCGAGGCAGAGGCCCAAACCAGGUGAAGGACGUUCUUCCUGCAUGCAUGUGGGACGAUAGGUCGUGUCUAACACAGCAUAAGAUUCAGUCCAGUCAGUUCACUGCUUGAGAUUAGUUCUGUGUUUCGUAUGCCUCAAGUAUUGGAUGAAUCAGUGACGACAUGGAACGACUUGCAGCAGAGACAGAAGCGAUCGAUCGGGAGUGCUCACCGAAUUCUUUGAUAGGACGAUGGUGGGAAGGAGCGAUGCGGGGGACGUUGUCGUGGGAGAGGGGCAUGGGGUCGGAGCGCGCCGCCUCCUUGAGGUCCCGUAAGAGGAAGCCACACGCCCAGUUCAGCGUCCUUGCCGCACAUGUAACGAGCAGCACCACCAGCAGAAGCGCCACCCCUCCCCAUCCCGAGCUCCACUACAUCUCCGCUGAUACGAACGACAUCGACUGGACGUCCGUCUCUCGGUGUUCGAAGGGGAGGAUACGGAAAGAUUAGCGUGCCGACGUCGGGUGAUGGAUUUGUCUCCGGAAGAUGACCACAGCGACAACGCAAAAAGGUUUGGAGUUACAUGGAAGCUGACAGAGAUGCUUACACUAACAUGGAAGCUGACAGAGCUACAGCGAUGGAGCUUGUGGUUAUUUGGGAGUGUUCAUCUUCCUCUCUCUGUUUCCCGUACUGUGCAACAAGGACAAUAAGGGAAAUGACAGUUUCUGCGGCAAUGAGUAAUGCUACCAAAAAUAAUAAUGGAUAUAAUCAAUAGUAAAACAAAAAUUCAAAACAGUCGACCUAAAACAGCCAUGGAAGAGCACUUCAAAUAUUUUUCUUAGGCAUCAUCUCUACAUUAGGGGUUGAGAUAAGAUUUUUAUACAUAAUUAAUUUUUCUUCCAAAUAAUUUGAUGCUCGAAGGAGUUUGAUUUCCAAUGAAUAAUACAAAUAUUACCAACCCUAGUAUUUCCAUCUUAGUGAGUAUUUUUACUUGUUUUAUAUUUUUAUAAAAAUAUUAAGUUGAAGGGUCUUAAUAAUUCUACAAUUUUGUUUUUGACUGAAAUUCAAAGAAGUCAGCUAUAAAGUUUUUGGAUCGCUCAAAAGAAAUUAUUUGUUUUGCUUAUACAAAUCUACCAUCAGCUUUUACAGGUACAAUGCGGAUGAGUUCUCAGAAAUGAUCGAGAAAGGAAAAUUAUUCAAAUGAUUCAGGAAGACAUGCUAUUGAACUCUCUAUCUUCAUCUAUACCACAACAGUUUGCAGAAUCUCAAAAUAUUACAUCCAAAUACAU